CCUACGGGGGGCUGCAGUGGGGGAUAUUGCACAAUGGGGGAAACCCUGAUGCAGCGACGCCGCGUGAGUGAAGAAGUAUUUCGGUAUGUAAAGCUCUAUCAGCAGGGAAGAAAAUGACAGUACCUGACCAAGAAGCACCGGCUAACUACGUGCCAGCAGCCGCGGUAAUACGUAGGGGGCAAGCGUUAUCCGGAUUUACUGGGUGUAAAGGGAGCGUAGACGGUUAUGUAAGUCUGGAGUGAAAGCCCGGGGCCCAACCCCGGGACUGCUUUGGAAACUGUGUAACUGGAGUGCAGGAGGGGCAGGCGGAAUGUCUGGUGUAGCGGUGAAAUGCGUAGAUAUCAGGAGGAACACCGGCGGCGAAGGCGGCCUGCUGGACUGAAACUGACGUUGAGGCUCGAAAGCGUGGGGAGCAAACAGGAUUAGAUACCCCUGUAGUC
rnacentral:rRNA from 1 species